rnacentral:lncRNA from 1 species
GAGGCUCUGUGGGUCUAACCACCUUCCAGGUGAUGCUUCUGGUUGGUGGACUAUGCUUUAAGUGGGAUGGAUUCGAGCAGGGUUUGCAAAAACCUUUUCAGCUUCUUUUCUUUGUAGGACGUAUCUCCAGGAAUCCAGGUCCCUGGUAAGUGGUGCUGGAGCUUUUUAGGGCCACACCUGUGGCAUAUGGCGGUUCCCAGGCUAGGGGUCAAAUCGGAGCUACAGCUGCCAGCCACAGCCACUGCCACAGCCACAGCAACAUAGGAUUCAAGCUGCGUCUACAACCUCUACCCCAGCUCACGGCAAUGCCAUAUCCCUAACCCACUGAGCAAGGUCAGGGAUCAAACCUGCAUCCUCAUGGAUGCUAGUCAGAUUCGUUAACCGCUGAGUCACGAUGGGAACUCCAUGUCCUCCUGAACUUUUCUCCUGAGCUUAGCCUGAAGUACCAUCUCUCUAGGUGUGGGGUUUUAGGGAGAAGGCACAUUUAGAGGCUGGAAAGUCAGGGUUGAGGAUUGCAAGAUGCAGGAGCAUUGAGAAUAUCUUUGGUGCAGAGUUGUGUUCGCAGCAUCAAGCAGAGUUGGGGUGAUGCCAGAAGUGAUCUGUUUAGGCUAAUGACAAAGAGCAAGGUUGCCAGGCAACCCUUGGUUCAAGUAUCAACUUCACCACUAGUCAACCGUGAGUCUUUGGUGCAAGUCACUACCCUCAGACUUAGUUUGCUUUUCUGCAGGUGGGGUUGCAACCAUUAUUUACCUCAUGGUGCUUCAUUAAUAAUGCCUGUGUAUAGCACAUGCUGUGUGGUCUGUUCACCUCUUGGGACCAUAGGAACUAUCUCUUGACUAAGAGGAUAAAAGUGCUUUAAAGUGUCUCAGACUUCAAUUGAGCUAAAAAAGUCUCUCUUGUGGUGAUUCUCCAGGAGCUGCUUUAAUGAGUAGAUAAAAAUGAUUUGUAAAUAGCACGUUACACUUUUGCAUGUAAAUGGUGUUUAUCUUCCUGGAAAUCAUUUAAGUAGAAUAGCUGGUCCAACUUAUUGGUCUACCUGGCUUUUUCUAAUUCCUCAGAUGAAAAGGGGUGUUACCCAGUUUUGCAGGGCUUUGGGGUGGUUUUUUCAUCCUUUUUUUUCGAAAGGCUGCACCUACGACCUAUGGAGUUUCUAGCUGGGGGUCCUAUUAGAGCUACAGCUGUCAGCCUACACCACAGCCACACAACUCAGGAUCUGAGCUGCAUCAGCGACCUAUACCACAGCUCAUGGCAAUGCUGGAUCCUUUAACCCAAUGAGUGAGGCCAGGGGUUGAACCCAUGUCCUCAAGGAUGCUAAUCGGAUUCGUAACCCACUGAGGCACAACAGGAACUCCCAUUGACCAGUUUUAUGUAGAAGAUCUUGAGAUGUAUUUCCCCUUACUCAUUGUUAAGUUGAAGACACACAGGAGUGACAUAGAGCUGGAUUGGGGACUUUUGGUCUUCAGUAACACUGAGUUCUCCUGAUAUCUUACACUCAUCAUCUAUUUUACCAACCCAGAAGGAUCCCUUCCCACUUCUGCCUCAACCAUCACAGCUUCUGGAUUGGCCAAGUCCAAGUAGAAACAGCUCACAGAAGCUGUGGCCUUAAGGCCAGAGAGACUGGCACUGAAUAGGCUUUCUCCUCAGAGGAUGGAGAUAGGGGUUUCUCAGCUCUGUGGAACUUUCAAAGACGCCUUGGAAUUUUUACUCUCUUGCCCCACUGGUGCCUCUUAGUUCUAAAUACUUGCUCCUCUGUUCCUCUUCAGCUGCUGCUGCGGGUGAUGACAGCAGCCAUUGCUUGUGAGAUGCCAGGUGCUGGGUGAGUCCUCUGCACGCAUUAGCUCCUGUGGUCUAAGACACGGGGCCAUGGGCUGGAGACCAUGGUUUUCCGAAAGCAGAAGUGAGGGUCAGAAGAAUCAGGCUUGUCACACAGCUGCUUGGUGGCAGAGCUGACACUUGAACUCAAAUUGGUCACUUUCAAAGACCAUCCUCUUAAUCCCUCUGCUCUCUUGCCUCCCUACCACAGGGAAAUUAUCUUCCUUUUGAUGUCCAUGCCUCAGAAAAUGAGGACAAAUACAGAUGGUUUCUUCUUGACUUAUGUUCCUCUUAUCACAUUUCAGGGGUAUCGUUAGUGCCGGGGUUCUGGUGGUAUCUAACCCUGCCUGGCAUCUCUCCUUUGCCUUCCUGGCGGUAUGGCCAAAUGGAUGGGAGAGGAGACAGUGAUGGACAAGGGCAGUGGGUGGACCCAAGGAGGGGCUGGAUAACCUAAGAAAGGCUGAGAGAGGGUUUGCUAUAAGAUGUGCUCUCUGUGAGCACCAUGCUGACUGUGACUGCUGGGAUUUACCCAGGGGUAUCAUCAUCCAAAAGGAAGAUCAUGGGCACCAGAGCCAUAGAAACCAGGAAAAGGACCCAGGCCUGCUACUUGCAAAAAGGCUCGCUGAGCCUCAAUUUCCUAAUUUGUCAGUGGGGAUAAUGAUACCAACUUGGCAAGUUUGCUGUAAGGAAUACAAAACUAUAUGCAAACCCCUUUUCAUAUAAUAGAUGCUCAAUAAAAGGGAGCCAUUAUUUACUUUCAUUAUAUCAGAGGGAAAACUCCUAGUGCAACAGUUCAGACUCAACCUUUUGCAUCACCAUGUUCUCAGCACCAGCUGUAUACUAUGGGAGGGGGACGCAGAAUGUAAAGGAUGUGAAAAUAAUUCCUGAUCCCUUGGUUCUGUGAUUUCGCACAGCUUUGGCUGUAUAGUCAAUGUGUGUAUUUCUCUGUCAGCUCUCUUCCCUACUUCCUCC